GUUAAUGUAGCUUAAUAAUAAAGCGAAGCACUGAAAAUGCUUAGAUGAGUUCACCCACUCCAUAAACA
rnacentral:tRNA from 1 species